GGAUUCCCCUAGUAACUGCGAGUGAAGCGGGAAAAGCUCAAAUUUAAAAUCUGGCGGUUUCACCGUCCGAGUUGUAGUCUGGAGAAGUGCUUUCCGCGCUGGACCGUGUAUAAGUCUCUUGGAACAGAGCGUCAUAGAGGGUGAGAAUCCCGUCUUUGACACGGACUGCCAGUGCUUUGUGAUGCGCUCUCAAAGAGUCGAGUUGUUUGGGAAUGCAGCUCAAAAUGGGUGGUAAAUUCCAUCUAAAGCUAAAUAUUGGCGAGAGACCGAUAGCGAACAAGUACCGUGAGGGAAAGAUGAAAAGCACUUUGGAAAGAGAGUUAAACAGUACGUGAAAUUGCUGAAAGGGAAACGCUUGAAGUCAGUCGCGUCGUCUGGAACUCAGCCUCGCUCUUGUGUGGUGCAUUUUCCGACGACGGGCCAGCAUCGAUUUUGACCGUCGGAUAAGGGUUGAAGGAAUGUGGCACCUUCGGGUGUGUUAUAGCCUUCAGUCGCAUACGGCGGUUGGGAUCGAGGAACGCAGCGCGCCGCAAGGCAGGGGUUCGCCCACUUUCGCGCUUAGGAUGCUGGCAUAAUGGCUUUAAACGACCCGUCUUGAAACACGGACCAAGGAGUCUAACAUACCUGCGAGUGUUUGGGUGGAAAACCCGAGCGCGUAAUGAAAGUGAAAGUUGGGACCUCUGUCGUGGAGGGCACCGACGCCCGGAGCAGACGUUCUCUGACGCAUCCGCGGUUGAGCAUGUAUGUUGGGACCCGAAAGAUGGUGAACUAUGCCUGAAUAGGGUGAAGCCAGAGGAAACUCUGGUGGAGGCUCGUAGCGAUUCUGACGUGCAAAUCGAUCGUCAAAUUUGGGUAUAGGGGCGAAAGACUAAUCGAACCAUC
rnacentral:rRNA from 1 species